GCGAGAAGCAGGAGAUCGGUUAGAAUUGUAGCGAUCUAAGGAGCAACAGGCGCUCAACAACGCAAGUAGCGUGAAAAACGCGCACAAAACGAUACAAAAACGCGCUGGGCUGGACCUUGAAGGCGGUUUUUUCGCCCCAAGUUGUUGCUACUUUAAAAUACGCUUUUUUCGGUAUUUAUAAAUUCAAUGACAAAUGCCAGCGAUGAGACUAGUGUUGUCAGUUUAGCUAUUAACCAAAAAAAAAAAAUUUUUUUUUAGGCUACGAUUAUUUAUUUUAAGGUUAUUAGUUUUUAAGUUUUUAAAAUGAAAGCAUUGAAGUUUGUGCUUGAAUUAUGAUGUAACAUAACCAACCAUAAUUAUACUAUACUUACUAUAUUCUAACUAGCUUUAGUUAGCUCUUAGCUCUAAAUUGUUUAACAAUCUUUUUUAGUUUAUAGCUAAUUUUAGCCAUUUUAAGUGGGCUUGUGGGAGCAGCAUCUCUGGAACUCUCUGCAUCGCGUGGGCCCAUUGUCACACCCCUCACGCAAUGAUCGAUAUUUUCACAGGCCCGCAGAAACGGAGAGAAAAGCCAGCGGAGGCAGAAAGAUUUUCCCUUGUGCAUUUAAAGGGCGAUCAAAGUAGAGGCCCGCUGCUUAUCGCUUGUGUAUUUUUGGAAAUCAAACAAACACAUCGACACAAACACACUCGCACUCUCGUUCGCACACACAUGUGCAAUGCCGAAGGGCAGCCGCAACGCAAGUCAAUUAGCCAACUGAAGUCAACAUCUUCACGGCAUCUGUGCGCCUGGUUGAUUACCUUGGGAUAAUUGGUCUAGGUCGAGGUUACAGUCAAAAAAGUGUGGUCUUCUGCAGCGGCAGGGGGCAGGGGGCAUGGGGCAGGAGGGUCUGUGCGCAAACUCCCCUCAAGUUCGUCGUGGUGACGAUUCUGCGUUAAUUAGCUGGAUGAAGUGCAAGGCAGUUCGCUUUUCAUUAAAAAACCCCAUGCAAGCCCAACCCAAAAAUAUGAUGGAGGUGGCGCCUAGGCUGUCAUAACCCGUUAAUUAGUUGGAGCAUUUUAACAGGCGCACAGAAUUAGCAGCAGGAAUUUAGUUUUACAUGCUUACAACAUCAGUGAAGAAGAAGAGGGUGGGGAUGGUUGGGGCUAUAACUCCAAAAUGUGUGUGUGUGCGUGUGUAUGUUUGGCCGAAGAAGAAGUAAAGGGCCGAGCAAACAUUUAUUUUUGUGCGUUUGCUUUUGUGUUUUCUGUUCGUCUAACUAUUGACUCGCUAAUGAGUUUGUGUGCUUCUGUGUGUGUGUGUGUGCGUUGAUAAGAGGUUGGGCAAAGUGCGUGUGCGAGCGAGAGGGAGCGAGUCUAUAGACCACCACUGCAACUCAAACAAGUGUGCAUGUAUACUUCGGUAUUUAUAGUUUUUCUAUUUCAAUAUCGUUUUUGGAAACUCCGUCUAUGAAGUGCUGUGCCCCUGUGACAAAAGCAAACAAUAUUUAAAUUCUAACAAUAGAUUUGAUGAAUUGAAAGAAAAAUGAUUCAGCAUAUUUUGAACCGUCGCAGAAUUGAAAGAAACUUCAACGAAUUUUUUCAAUUCUUCAUGUUACAUAACAUUCGAAUAUGUACGGUGCUAUUUAUAGAUCGCCAGAAUUGCGUUAGAAAAUUCUCAUAACAGGAUUAGAUAAAGUUCACAGUACUGUAAUUUUAACAGAAUGUUAUAUCAAAUUCUUUCCAUAUUCUGCUAAUAGCAUAAUGUUUAAAUCGUGAAUAAUCUGAUAUGAGUUCUGUUGUUGCUAUAACCGAUAAGUUAAAAAUAUAGGAAAAAAUAUAAAAUUCAAGUCACUCUGCAAAUUUGCAUGCCUUGUAUUAUAUAAAGAAAGAAAUCCUAUAGAUGUUAUCUGCCAGCUGUGCAGAUCUGAAGAUAUGUACAUAUGUCUUUCUCCUAGAGACUAUCUCUCUGAUUUUAUUUUGAUUGCAAAUAUUGACCGAGAACUGCUACUAAGAGCUUUGGUAAAUAUACUUUUCACGUCUGCAUGCGAGAGAGCGAGCAAAUAAAUCUGCCCAGAGUUUAAUCGAAGAAAACACAAUAUUUUAAUUGCAAUAUCUUUCCAUUUUAAAUGUUAUUUCUUUGUGUGUGUGAAGCAAUCAAAUCAACUGAGUCAAUCGCGCUUUUAUCAGCAAUCGCUUUUGUUAUUGUCAUCGUGGCUUGUUGUUUUUGCUGCUAUCAGCUGGCUAUGUGCAAACAGAUGUUAAUGGAAGUAAGUUUCAUUAUAUAAGCUAUCGUUUGACCAGAUCACGUGCCCAUGAGCUUAAGCUGCUGAUAAAAGCUUUCAGCCAGAUAGGCCAAAAACAAACAAAAACUAAAAAUACACUAAAAUAAAUAUGUAAAUUUAUUAAAACAUGUUUGACAACACCACAACUUUUAGAAAAAAGUUAGAUGUUUAAAAACGCCAGCAAAACGCUUUCGAAUCGCUAGAGAAACGCUAUCAAACCGCUGGCAAAUACAACUUUUAUAAACAUGUACUUAUUACGUGCAUUUCUUAUGUUUAAGAUACUCCAAUUAACUGGAAAUAACCACUACUCUAUUAUUAUCUAAAACAACCCUAGUAGAAGAUACACUGAAAGUAAUAACUAGCAAUUGCCACUUGAGUCUUUGUUUUGGCGGGCAAUGACGCAAAUCGAUUCCAGCAUUAUCAAUCCGGUCAUAUACUAGUAGCUCCCUUUCACCUCGAACAAAAGUGGAUUUCGGAACGAAAUGGUGUUCUAGAUAAGGUGAAAAACACAUCCAGCAACAAUAACAAUAAUCGCGUUAGGAAAGGAAGGCGUAACCAAAGAAUAAGCGUUUUGUAAACAAACAGUGCGAGCAAAACGGAAUGCCAAAAAACGCCAGCGAUUUUCGGACGAGACGGGCAAAAACGUCGAUCGAAAUGUUUACACAAGCCGAAAGUAAUUACAUAAAGCAACUAGGCAAAAAAGAAAAAAAAAUAUUGUCUAUUUACAAGUCCAAUUGAAGGCUGUCGAUAAAAAGCACAAACAAAGAAACACAAUGAUCUUAACUUCAAGAGCAAAAACUUUGGCAAGAGCGAAAAGCGAGAAAUCAGUGAAACGGUAACCCAUUUUAUCCGCUUUUAACCGCUUUUACUACCUUCAAAUACAAUGGAACAGAUAAAACAUAAUAAAGAGACUUGAGAAUGACGUGGAGUUCGAGCAAGUGUCGAUUAAAUAUAUAUUAAGUCGCAGUUACUAGCAGCGAGCAUUAAGUUUAGUCGAUAAGAAGAGAGCUUUAUUUAUCGCAGGGGGGUCGUCUUUGUUUUGGCUACUACAUAUGUGCAAUCAAGUCCACAAAGGCGGUGCAAGAAAUAUAUGUAUUUACAAUCGGACGGAUUAGGUGUGUCUAUGUCAUCUUUGGGCUUAUCGUUCAUUUCUUCACCGACGAGCGAGGCAAUGGAGCUUUAUGGCGGUCUGUGUUGACUUUAGCAGAGCUUCCAAAUGCACAGAAAACAAUUAGAUAGCUUUUUCCAGCUUUUUGCACCACUGACACACAUUUUCCAACCCGCCGGCACAAAAGAAACCCCUUUUCGAAACGACAUGUCCUUGAACAUAAGGAUUAGAACCCCUGAAACGCACAAGUAGUGCGAAUAAAAAUAACGAAAACAAACAAGAACAGGGGAAACCGGUUCCUAUUACGUCGUCGAUUGCAUAAAACUCUGCCUCAAGGUUACCCAGUUUGGUGGAGUGAUGGAGGGAUGGGGGGGAAGCGCGGAGGAUUUGCCCGCUGUUUGGACAGGUUUGCUGGCUGGCUGGGGCGACAUUGACAUUGAAAUUGGUACGAGGCAGCCAGCAGGAGGAUGAGGCCAACAAAAAGCUCAAGUUCAAUGCUAAGCUUUGCCUUUUGCCGGCUGGAGGUCCUUCGUCGACUGUUGAAUGGAAAAAAAGGGCCGGGCCACUCCCCUAAAUCAAGUUAAUUGCCAUGACGCAACCUUUGGCCAGAGGAAGUGAAAACUGAGAACGAAUAAAAAUAAUAGAUGGGGCAAUAAAAAAAUUGUUUACGUUUUCGGUAGAGUUGCGGAUUUUUUUUCAGCUCUUUUCUUAUUUUUUUUUUAUUUCACUCUUCCAUAUUCCCAUUCAUUGGCCAACUCCACAUAAAGCAGCUCAGGUUUCAAAACAAAAACUGGACAUAAGUAGUUUGUUUUGGUUUUGCCAAUUGCGACGCAGUUUGUUUUUGCGCCUGCGCAGCUUUUUGUGGCAAGUUUCCCACACCGAAAAAUGCGAACGAUUCCGCAUAACACACAAUAUUGUUGUUUGCAACAAUUUGCCUCUUCAACAAAUUCUGGCAUCAACAAAAUUGCUAUCCCAUUCCGGAGCGGAAAUAGUAAUGAAACCCUAGAUUGGUGGGUAAAAACAGAACUUGCUUUUUGGAUUCAUUUUUUUUUUUUAUUAAUAUUAUUUUUUUUUGCCGCGAAAUGAGAGAAGCUGGGGAGCACUUGGGAAUACAUAUUUGAAAUCGCUUAAAUACUUUGUAACUUGAUGAUGUGGCAAGAAAUUCCCUUUUAUUGUUCACGUACUGAGUCAUGAUAAACGGAAUAUCAAUCUAUAUGAUAUGAAAGGGUUAAUAUAUAAUUUUAAAAUCAGCUGACACAAGAACUACCCGUUAAUUAAAGUCUUUAACGUCACUGAGAUAACUCAUCGAGUGCUUUUAUAAUCUUUGAGGCUUCGAUCAUUUCCACACGCCAGAUAAACCUGCUGAGUGUAAAAGAUCUCAUGAUAGGACUAUCCGUCGUAUAUCAAGAUCUUUCUAACUAAUCUAAUCAGUUGAUUGUCCUGUGUACAUACAUUGUAUAUGAUCUAUUGCUAGUUCAUCGCUAAGAUAAGGUGCUAAAAUAUCAAAAUUUAGAGCUUUCGACUUGAUCAAAAUGGAUCAAAGAACCUCAAUGCAAAGAAAUCCUGAUAAAAAUGUAUACUUUUUACUAUUUGCGAAGUAUAUUUCUAGUUUUUCCUAUGAUAUUCGUUGACUAUUUGUUAUUCAGCGUACGAAGAGUUAUAAAUUUGCAUCUUUAUAGCUCGUUCGAUAGUUUAGCUUUCAUGGCGCAGUAAGAUCGUAUAUGUACGAAAUGUAUAUAUUUAUUAAUAAACGUUUUAUGGUAUAAUUAAUUAAGAGGUAUAGUAAUAGCAUCCUUCUCAAGGUUUAGCAUAGUUAUUGCCAAACUAAAACCAAAUCCCCGGGAAUUUGAUUUGCCCCAGCAAGUGGCAAUGACAGGUCGCUGACAAGCCAAUUGGCUGCACGCCAAAUGCAUAUCUACAAGUAUGUAACCCGCGGAUGGAUGACAAUAAGUUUCCUCCCCAUACCCCCUGUGGAAACCACGGAGUCCCACGGAAAAACGGGUUAGCCACCAGUUGAGUGGCGGCGGCAUGCGAAAGAAACCGAAACCGAAAACGCUAGGCAGAAAUAGCGAAACGCCAGCGGAGCACGACUGCAACGCUGCAUGUAUGUAUGUGGCAAACAAGGUCAGUUUGCCAAAGCGCAUUCGACGAGUUCAACGAAACUUGUAUCUGGCAUUGGAAGUGAAAGCUCUGAGAUGCACCUUAGCUUUGCUUUAGCUUUAUGCGCGGAGAAAGACAAAGAAAGUCGCCGAGGGGGGCGUAAGUUCAAGGCGGUUUGCGAGCGGUUUACGAGCGUUUCGCUAGCGAUUUACGAGCGUUACCGAUGGCACACGCAUUUCGGCAUUGCGUAAUUACUUUGCGCUAAUACACCUAGAUAGAUAUAAUACCCAUGAUUCAACGCUGACAGGCCGUUUAAGUGCGUGACAAAAUGCCUGGCGCCUCGGAACAAAAGUUCCGAAUUAAACGAACGCCCCUCGACAUGCAAUUCAAUUCAACUCAAUUCAAACAAUUGUUUGCACAGCUUUCGGCCGGGCACGCUCUCUAAUU
rnacentral:sRNA from 1 species